rnacentral:rRNA from 1 species
UAUAGUAACGAUAGCAAUGAGGAUACACCUGUUCCCAUACCGAACACAGAAGUUAAGCUCAUUAACGCCGAUGGUACUCGGAGGGCAACCUCCCGGUAGAGUAGGAAGUUGCUAAAU